CAGCGUUACUCUAAAACUGAUCUGACGAAAAGCUAUGAUCAGAAUGUGUGUGUUGUGUGGUUUAGUGAUCGUGCUGAUACCUGCCUUAGGUAAGACAUCAUUUAUAUUGUUUGAAUUGUUUCGAUUUCAAGUUCAAUCUUGUCUGUUAAGUGUGCUGUCUGUGUAAACUGGCUUCGUUUCAAAAGCAAAUGAGCAAACACGUGGUCUGACUACAUGCGCUAAAUCCUAUAAGAGCCAAAUAAAUGACUGAUGUGAUAGACUCCCAGUGAAAAGCGCUUGUCAUGUGAAGCGCAGGAGUUGAUUCUAAUCUUAACAUACAGUCAGGAGUGUUUCUAACUUGGCUAGUGUCCAUGUUGCCCACGUUUAACAGUCACAUGUGCAGCUACGCUAAUACUUAGCGCAUAUCAUUUUCUAUUAAAUAACACAUUUAACAAAAUUCCUUUAUCUUCAUCACUUCAUAAAAUAUUUUUUUUUGUCCAAGCUUGUUGCAUUGUUGGCUUGUUGGAUUAUUUUAUCUGUAAAGUAUUUGGCAAGAAGCUCGCUAGAUUUUGAGACAAGAUUUCUUCAUAAUCUGCCACUUCUUGAAGGGAAAACUGCAACGUUUAGGUCUAUUCUGAAUAUUUUUGUGUUAUAUUUAAUGAAGAAAUAUAACAUAAAAUAUAUUAUUUCAGUAACAAUGUAUUACAAAUAUAUUUAAAAAACUGGUCGGUGGCUGAUUAUUUGGAUUGAUAUUUGCCAUUUUGAGAUUAUGCAAAUAGAUUAUCAACCUUGUUGGCAAACUAACAGAUUUAUUAAUGCCAUUUUUUGUGCCAUCUUAUUGAAUCCAUUGCCACAGUUCUUCUGAAUGUGUCACUUUAAAUCUGUUAUUCACAUAUUGAGCAACUGAUCAUUUACAUACAGUUCAAAUAUUAAUUUUGUCAGGUUCCUGUGUACAAUAUGAGGUGGUGGAAGUAAUUGAGGGUGGAGAUGCUAUCCUAAACUUCACAGCUUCUGGAUUGACUAUUUUCUACAAAAUGCAUUGUGAAAAUUGGACUAAAAUCACUAAGAUUGGUCAAUACUGUGGCCCUGCUGAUAACUGCAGCAACAGCUCAACAACACCUGAAGUUUCAAUAGAGACUGGCCGUCUAAUUCUACAUAAUGUCACCUACAACAGAUGCUACAGUGCAAAAACCUUACAAGGACACAAAGAGGUAUUUUAUAAUGUUACUGUCAAAGAAUUACACUUUACCAUCAGCACAGAAAUGCCCAUCUUAAAAUUCACUACUGAAACACCCGACUAUACUUUAACCUCAGACAAUUUCUACAACAAUACAUCAUCCAAUGCAACCACCACACAUAUUGCUGCUGUUGUUGUUGCUGUGAUCUUGGUGCCCCUUGGUUUGUUCGUUAUCUGGUACAUAUAUGCACAGUAAGUAUUGUCACAAUAAUUCAACUGUUCUUAAUUUGACCUCUCAUUAAUAACUGUGUUCAGGUAAAGACUGUGUUAUUGCAUAUCAGAGCAAACAUUUUUCAGCAAUGUAAAUUCGAAGUCUAUUUUUAAAUCCAGGCAUAAAAGCAGUGCAUGGGCAAAGCACAACUUAAUUUGAAUUUAAAAGCCACACUUGCUAGUUUGUAGUUGGACAUUAUUAUUAUAUGGCUCAAAACGAAUUAUAGUAAUUCCUAAUUAAAUACUUUUUGUGCACUUUAAAGCCAGCAGAGGUACUUACCAGUGAACGCAAACGUUGCAGGGUGAUGCUGGCUAAAGUGUCUCAUGAAGAAAUCAUCAUGGGAAACCCAGCAGCAGCCAAUUCGCUUCUCACAACUGCGAACGAAACUCAACUCUAGAUGGCUGCUCCACCUCCAACUAGGCACUUUACUGAAGGAUCUCUACCUUGAAGGAUUGAAAUGAAGGUCAACAUGGGUCAAGAGACUAUUGAAGUAGUUCUG